GACCAUUCUAGAAACUUAACUAGAAAUCUAUUCUUCCAAAAAAAUCUACUUUAAUAUUUUCACACUCCCCCUGAAAGUGAUUUUUUGGAGCUACCCUGAACUUGUUGCGGAAGAACUCAAACGAAGCUUUGGACCACACCUUGGUGAAACUCUUAUCAGUUUUUUUCAGACUCUUCUUUCUUCUUCCAAUAAUGAAGAUUUUCCAUUAUCGAUUUGUCCUUGACGAGUUUUAUGAUGCUGAGUUCUCAAGCUCCCCCUUUCUUUGAACUCUCCACAACUUCAUUUUCUGGAGACACACAUGUGAUGGACAAGUUUGGAGCUCUAGCAUUCAAGAUUUUAGAACUUACUCUUUGUGAAGCAACUCCAUAACACAAGGACAUUUCAUCUGCAUCAACCUCCUAAUUUGAUUUGAUGAAUAUCUUAUCAUCAAUUUUCUGUGAAGCCUUAGCACCAUAAUAGGAUAUACCACUAGAUUUCGUCCCUAGCUCUUUAAUCAUAUUGUAUGCUUCUCCAUCUAAAAUUGAGUCUUCUCUUUCAACUUCAUCAUUCAUUGGAUCGUUACCUUCUUCAUCAACUUUCAAUAUUUCCUCUGAGCCAAUGAUUGAACUUGAUGCGGAGGAUGAUUGACCAGAAACUUCAACUUCUACUACAUCUCCCUUAAUAGUUUCUCUGAUAAUGUCAUUAGUGGAAUAUUGAUUUUUAGACACUAUCUCCUCGGAAUGUACUUCAAGAUCUUUCAUGUUUAGACUUUUAUGGCCAAUUUUGGAAUUUGCUUUUUUUAUUUCCUUGAUAGAAGUUGCCACGUCUCCAGUAUGAAAGUCUUCACUAUCCUUUUGCGUCUUAUCAGUGUCUUCCUUCUACUCAAGAUGGGUUGUAUUAUAUCUUCUCCAAUCUCCUUUCAAAUUUAUGAAAGCCAAGGCAUUUAUUGCUCGACUCUCAGCUUCUAAGCAUCUUUCCCAGCCUUCUUCUUCUUCAAUAACUUUUUCAGUAUGAGCUAUUUUGCUCUCAGUAGCUCGACAAUAUCUUCUUAUAUGUCCUGCUUUGCCACACCGAUAACAUCUGAGAGGAUUUUUAUAAUUGUUAAAAGACUCUUCCUUAUUUCCAGGCGAGCUUUAAUCACAUGCGAAUCGAGAGUGGGGCAUAUCUCUUGUUUUUCCUUUAACGUUUCUCUUGUCAGCUACAAGAGCUUUUCCUUUAAUGUUGCUCUUGUCAGCUACAAGAGCAUUUCCUUCCCUUUCUUUGACAAAUUCACCAUCCAAUUAUUUUUCUAGUAACUCCUAUGACGAUAAUAAAUUCUCAAAUUCCUCCGCGGAUGGUUGUUGAGCCUAUUCCUGAAUUGAUGUCACAAAAGGGAAUUAUUCUUGUUUCAAACCACGAAUAAUAAUUCUUCACGUUUGUGCUUCAGAAAUAGCCUCAUCCGGAUUUAAUAAAGAGAUCUCAGAACAUAAAUUCUUAAUCCUUAAGAAAUACUCGACAAUAGAAAGAUUACCUUGGUUGGCGUUAGCCAAUUCAUUCUCCAAUAUUUGUAGCCGAGCUUCAUUUUUCUUGUUGAAUAACUUAUCUAGGGUCCUCCAUAUUUCAUGAGCUAAUUUGCACCUUAUAAUAUGAUCAAAUAAGUUGGAGGAUAUUGAUCUCUUCAAUAUGAACUCCACCUUCGCAUUAGUCUACUUUCACUUCUUGUAUACACGAUCAUGGUCCAAUCCAUCGUUUGGAGGACUUGUGUUACUCCCAUUAACAACAUCCCACAAAUUCUCGUCUACAAGGUAUGAUUCCAUACAUGUCUUUCAUACCUUGUAAUUGGAUUGAUUCAAUAACUCCAUUCCCAGCACACUAACGCGACCACUUAAAUCUAUUAGGACAAACUAGUUGAAUCAAUCAUAAACCCGAUCUUGAAAUAAACUUCAGAAGCCAAUGUGUGGCUAUUGCUCUGAUACCAUGUAGAGAAUAGCAGAAGAAAGGUAUAUUCAGGAAACCUUCUGCUAGCCCAAGAUCGUUAACUAAAAACGGAAGAUUCAACUAAGAAGA
rnacentral:lncRNA from 1 species